rnacentral:rRNA from 1 species
CAGCCAGACUCCUACGGGAGGCAGCAGUGGGGGAUAUUGCACAAUGGGGGGAACCCUGAUGCAGCGACGCCGCGUGGGUGAAGGAGCGCCUCGGCGCGUAAAGCCCUGUCAGCAGGGAAGAAAAUGACGGUACCUGAAGAAGAAGCCCCGGCUAACUACGUGCCAGCAGCCGCGGUAAUACGUAAGGGGCAAGCGUUAUCCGGAUUUACUGGGUGUAAAGGGCGUGUAGCCGGGCUGACAAGUCAGAUGUGAAAUUCCGGGGCUCAACCCCGGACCUGCAUUUGAAACUGUUGGUCUUGAGUAUCGGAGAGGCAGGCGGAAUUCCUAGUGUAGCGGUGAAAUGCGUAGAUAUCAGGAGGAACACCGGCGGCGAAGGCGGCCUGCUGGACCGUGACUGACGUUGAGGCUCGAGAGCGUGGGGAGCAAACAGGAUUAGAUACCCGAGUA